UCCCUGAAGGACUAGUGGUUAGGCCACAGCAAUCUCACUGCUGUGGCCCAGGUUCGAUUCCUGACCAGGGAA
rnacentral:tRNA from 1 species